rnacentral:rRNA from 1 species
GAUGAACGCUGGCGGCGUGCCUAAUACAUGCAAGUCGAGCGAACAGACGAGGAGCUUGCUCCUCUGACGUUAGCGGCGGACGGGUGAGUAACACGCGGAUAACCUACCUAUAAGACUGGGAUAACUUCGGGAAACCGGAGCUAAUACCGGAUAAUAUAUUGAACCGCAUGGUUCAAUAGUGAAAGACGGUUUUGCUGUCACUUAUAGAUGGAUCCGCGCCGCAUUAGCUAGUUGGUAAGGUAACGGCUUACCAAGGCAACGAUGCGUAGCCGACCUGAGAGGGGGAUCGGCCACACUGGAACUGAGACACGGUCCAGACUCCGACGGGAGGCAGCAGUAGGGAAUCUUCCGCAAUGGGCGAAAGCCUGACGGAGCAACGCCGCGUGAGUGAUGAAGGUCUUCGGAUCGUAAAACUCUGUUAUUAGGGAAGAACAAAUGUGUAAGUAACUAUGCACGUCUUGACGGUACCUAAUCAGAAAGCCACGGCUAACUACGUG